rnacentral:rRNA from 1 species
UACGGGGGGGGCAAGCGUUGUUCGGAAUUACUGGGCGUAAAGAGCUCGUAGGCGGUUUGGUAAGUUGGAUGUGAAAUCUCCAGGCUCAACUUGGAGGGGUCAUUCGAUACUGCCAUGACUAGAGUUCGGUAGGGGAGUGUGGAAUUCCUGGUGGAGCGGUGAAAUGCGUAGAUAUCUGGAGGAACACCGGUGGCGAAGGCGGCAUCCUGGACCGGCAUUGACGCUGAGGCGCGAAAGCCAGGGGAGCAAAGCGGG